rnacentral:rRNA from 1 species
GACGAACCGUCCAAACGUUAUUCGGAAUCACUGGGCUUAAAGGGUGCGUAGGCGGCCCGGAAAGUUGGAUGUGAAAUCCCUCGGCUCAACCGAGGAACUGCAUUCAAAACUACCGGGCUUGAGGGAGAUAGAGGUGAGCGGAACUCAGGGUGGAGCGGUGGAAUGCGUUGAUAUCCUGGGGAACACCAGUUGCGAAGGCGGCUCACUGGGUCUCUUCUGACGCUGAGGCACGAAAGCUAGGGGAGCGAAGAGGAUUAGAUACCCUCGUAGUCCUAGCUGUAAACGUUGAGCACUAGAUCGGAGGAUUUCGGUUUUCCGGUCGUAGCGAAAGUGAUAAGUGCUCCGCCUGGGGAGUAUGGUCGCAAGGCUGAA